AAAGGAGGGAACCCCGGAUUGGAUAUGAGACAGAAGAUAUAAGAAUCAAAAAUUCCCAAGGAGGAUUUGUCAAUCAAGGAAAACAUGACAGAUGGUGAGCAUGUUUAAGGAAAAUAGCCCACAGUGUCUGCCCUGAUCAAUACGUACCCAUGGGACUUUGAAGAUCCUAAGCUAAGUAAACCAGGAGACACAGAAGACGUACCAGAUUUGCAAAGAAGGAAAAGUAUUUCCUACUUAGCAGCAUUUCCAAAGGAAGAAGCUAAGAGUGAGAAAAAUAUACCGUG
rnacentral:lncRNA from 1 species